UACGAAGGGGGCUAGCGUUGCUCGGAAUUACUGGGCGUAAAGCGCACGUAGGCGGCUUCUUAAGUCGGUGGUGAAAUCCUGGAGCUCAACUCCAGAACUGCCUUCGAUACUGGGAGCUCGAGUCCGGGAGAGGUGAGUGGAACGUGCGAGUGUAGAGGUGAAAUUCGUAGAUAUUCGCAAGAACACCAGUGGCGAAGGCGGCUCACUGGCCCGGUAC
rnacentral:rRNA from 1 species